GAUGAACGCUGGCGGCGUGCCUAAUACAUGCAAGUCGAGCGAACAGACGAGGAGCUUGCUCCUCUGACGUUAGCGGCGGACGGUUUAGUAACACGUGGAUAACCUCCCUAUAAGACUUGUAUAACUUCGGGAUACCGGCUCUAAUACCGGAUAAUAUCUUGAACCGCAUGGUUCACUAGUGAAAGACGGUUUUGCUGUCACUUAUAGUUGGAUCCGCGCCGCAUUAGCUAGUUCGUAAGGUAACGGCUUCCCAAGGCAACGAUGCGUAGCCGACCUGAGAGGGUGAUCGGCCACACUGGAAGUGAGACACGGUCCAGACUCCUACGGGAGGCAGCAGUAGGGAAUCUUACGCAAUGGGGGAAAGCCUGACAGAGCAAAGCCGCGUGAGUGAUGAAGGUCUUCGGAUCGUAAAACGCUGUUAUUAGGGAAGAACAAAUGUGUAAGUAACGAUGAACGUAUUGACGGUACCUGAUCAGAAAGCCACGGCUAACUACGUG
rnacentral:rRNA from 1 species